AGAAUCAUUUCAUUCCUAAAGCGAGUAAAAUGACAAGGUUUUGGACACAAUGAAUUUCCCUUUUGCCAAUCUGCAAUACCAUCACUAGAGCAUGAAUUGAGUGAGUUGAGCUGGGAUAUCUCAGGAAGUAACUUUAAAAAUUGCCGUGCUAACAGCUUUGCCUUGGAAGGAUGAGAAGCCCUUGGCAUACAUAGAUCUCCAGAUUUCCUAUAAACCUACUUGAUUCCUUGUAAAACAUUUUUAAUUCUCUUGGCAAAACCCCUAAGCCCCUAUGGGGAUGCCUUCACAUCUUGCCUUUUUGAGCUCCAUCUCCCUCUUUCCAUUCCUUUUCUAGGUGAGAGGAAGCCAAGAAUUCCCAAGUUGUCUGUGAUAUACUGCCUUUGUCACUGGACACCCUGCCUCUGAUGGGGACCAGCUCCUGCCUUUUGCUCACCACUACAAAUGCCACUGCCUUGAGAAUUACUGACAUUGUCACUGAGGGGGCUAUAGUCGUGUGAGUAUAAAUAAACACAGUGCUAGAAAAGACACUCAGGGAUAAAUAGCAAAGGUAGUGCAUAGUGUGAGACCAAAAUAACUUCGUGCUGUUCACUGAAAGUACCUUCCACUGGCUGUCUUGUGCUGGCUGUUUCCAGCCAAGGUCCUUGUCUUCCCCCAAAAGGCAAAAAGCACAUGUGACUUCAGAAGCCAUGGGGCUCCUCUCUGUCCCUCCAAGAUGGUGACACUGAGGAGCUGGGACGCACUUGCAAGUACACUAGUCAUACAACUUCUGAAAGGUUAUACAUGGGACUCAUAUUUGGACCAUCAUCAGACAAUAGUUCAGACUCAACAUCAAGCAGAAGGGCUACUGUUUAAAGAGAUGAUCUAAAUUGUCUCUUUCAUUGCUAAUAGGACAUUCGUGGCUCCAUGUACUCAGUCAGCAGGGGAUGGAGUGUCUUGCUUGUCCAGAUACAUGGUCUGCUGCUACAGGCCUGGAAAAAUCUGCUUGUGCUUCCAACCAGAAGUCUCCAGAGGAUUCAGGAGCCUCCAACAAAACUUUUCUGAAACAGUGUUGAAAUAAAAAACGUUCACAUGUCCAGAACACUGAUUAAACCUAAAUUAAACCUGAA